UACUCCUACGGGAGGCAGCAGUGGGGAAUAUUGGUCAAUGGUCGCAAGACUGAACCAGCCAUGCCGCGUGCAGGAUGACGGUCCUAUGGAUUGUAAAUUGCUUUUGUACGGGAAGAAACACUCCUACGUGUAGGGGCUUGACGGUACCGUAAGAAUAGGGAUCGGCUAACUCCGUGCCAGCAGCCGCGGUAAU
rnacentral:rRNA from 1 species